CCUUUGCCGGCGAGGGCUCGAAAGAGAUGUGCCGGACGUGGAUUAGUCGGAAAGUGCCACGUCAUAAGAAAACCCCGACAGCC
rnacentral:sRNA from 12 species